GGAGGAGUGGCCGAGUGGUUGAUGGCGGCGGUCUUGAAAACCGUUGAGGCGAAAGCCUUCGGGGGUUCGAAUCCCUCCUCCUCCG
rnacentral:tRNA from 1 species